rnacentral:misc_RNA from 1 species
CACCACACCUAAUCCACCGGUAUACAAUAAAAUUUCUCCCUCUACUGACCUUACCAACCCUCUCCUCUCUCUCUCUCUCUCUGUUGUUCUUGUGUUCAUAUUCACUCACAGUUACAGCUUCUCUUGGUUGCAGCCCAUAGUUUUUUGCUCCUUCCAAAAGCUUUAAAGCUUCUUUCAUUCUGCUCUUCCUCAUACCAAACCCCACACUCAUGGGUGGUCAAGGAAAGGUCUUUACUUUGGCUGA